rnacentral:rRNA from 1 species
UACGUAGGGGGCAAGCGUUGUCCGGAAUCAUUGGGCGUAAAGCGCGCGUAGGUGGCCCGGUAAGUCCGCUCUGAAAAUCCAGGGCUCAACCCUGGGAUGCGGGUGGAUACUGCCGGGCUCGAGUCCGGAAGAGGCGAGUGGAAUUCCAGGUGUAGCGGUGAAAUGCGUAGAUAUCUGGAGGAACACCGGUGGCGAAGGCGGCAUCCUGGACCGGUAUUGACGCUGAGGCGCGAAAGCUAGGGGAGCAAACGGG